rnacentral:lncRNA from 1 species
GGGUUUUGACAUCGUGACAACUCCUUUUGGAAUGGGUGUUAAAGAGUUCUAAAAGAAGAAAGAGCCAUCAGUUAAUGAUUUUUAAGGUGCGUUAGGGCACCUAUUAUAAAGAUAACUCUGUUUGACUAUUCUGUGCCACCAAAGAUCAGGUAAGAGCUCAAAUUACCUUAAAGAGAAGGUGUUAGGCACUCUUCGAGAUCCACAACUGAUGGUCCCAGCCGAACUUAAAAUUAUGUGGAUUACAAUUAAGCAAGCUAUCAAAUAAACAAAGGGAGUUCAGAAGUCAAAGAACCUUAUUACAACAUGAUUAAUAUUGAUCUUAAAACGAAUAUAUGGGUACUAUUUAGAUCUAAUAACGUAUAAAGAGAAAGGGGGGUGCUAAGUUUAUUAGCCUAAAGGAUCACCCCGUUCAACACAAAUAAUACUUCUCAACUCCCUUGAGAUAGGGAGUUACUCAUAUUAUUCAUCGGACAUACUAUCAUCUCCUGCUACUCGAUUACUAUGUUAAGUUGUUUACCUAAAAGCGCUCUAAUUCAAUUCUAAGUCGUACCCUAUGCAUGCACUACCUAUCCCAUGCUUAUGGUCCAGGAGGUUUUGGAGCUCUAUUUGGGUGGUUCUAGACUUUAUUUAGGUUGCUCAGAAAUAUCAAAACUAGGUGACAUAAAAACACAUUGGACUUCAAAUGUGGGCAGUCAAGGGCUCAAGUUUUCCUACACACUUGAGCAACAAAUGCACCCAACACAAUUUUUCAUGUUAGGCAAUUCAGAAUUAAGAAUCUUAAGCCCUAUAUACAUGAUUUCUAUGUGAUAAUGCAUCAAAGCAUACAAGUAGUUUCAGAAGCAUACAUACAUGAUUAUAUACGAUGAUUAUUGAGAUUAUAGGUUUGCACUUAUUAAACCUGUUGUGUCUAGGUGACUCGUACAGUAAGGAAUAAUGAAAAAAACCAUUGGGAGGAGCCCAGAAUACUUAUGCUUGCUGACAGCGGCAUGAACAAAUAGUAAACGAUAUUUUAGAGGUCCGUCGUUAAUAGAACGAGUAAUUAUACCCUAGGCAGGAUCUCUAACAGUUAAUGCUUGGAACUUAUUUUAUUAUUAUACUUAGUCCUAUAGGCAUAAUUUCUGGUGAACAUUGUGAUAUGAUAGCAAAUGAAAUGAUCAAAAUCCUAUAGUCAUGAUUUUUAGUGAUCAGUGCGAUAUAGUAGGGAAUGCAGUGAUCAAAAUCCUAUA